rnacentral:rRNA from 1 species
GAUCAAGCUACAAAGGGCGCACGGUGAAUGCCCUGGCACUAGGAGCCGAUGAAGGACGUGAUAAGCUGCGAUAAGCUACAUGUAGGCGCACAUAGCCUGUGAUAUGUAGAUUUCCGAAUGGGGAAACCCAUCUAGUUAUGCUAGAUACUGUAUACUGAAUACAUAGGUAUAUGGAGGUACACCUGGGGAACUGAAACAUCUAAGUACCCAGAGGAAGAGAAAGAAAAUUCGAUUCCCUAAGUAGCGGCGAGCGAAAGGGGAAGAGCCCAAACCAGGAACUUGUUCCUGGGGUUGCGGAUAGAUCAUAACGCUUUGAUUUCUUUAGUUGAAGAGAACUGGAAAGUUCCGUCGUAGAAGGUAAUAACCCUGUAGGCGAAAAGGAAAGAAAAGUAGAUCUACUCCAGAGUACCACGAGACACGUGAAACCUUGUGGGAAGCUGGGAGGACCAUCUCCCAAGGCUAAAUACUACCUAGUGACCGAUAGGGAAGCAGUACCGUGAGGGAAAGGUGAAAAGAACCCCGGAAGGGGAGUGAAAUAGAAUCUGAAACCGUGUGCCUACAAUCGGUCGGAGCACAUUAAAGUGUGACGGCGUACUUUUUGUAGAACGGGCCAGCGAGUUACGAUAUAUAGCAAGGUUAAGCACUUAUGGUGUGGAGCCGAAGGGAAACCGAGUCUGAAUAGGGCAACUAGUUGUAUAUUGUAGACCCGAAACCGGGUGACCUAUCCAUGGCCAGGAUGAAGCGGAAGUAAAAUUCCGUGGAGGUCCGAACCACGUUGGUGUUGAAAAACCAUGGGAUGAGCUGUGGAUAGCGGAGAAAUUCCAAUCGAACUCGGAGAUAGCUGGUUCUCCUCGAAAUAGCUUUAGGGCUAGCGUCGGGUAAUUGAGUAGUGGAGGUAGAGCACUGAAUGGGCUAGGGGCUGACAACAGUUACUGAACCCUAUCAAACUCCGAAUGCCAUAUACUUGUACCCCGGCAGUCAGACUACGAAAGAUAAGAACCGUGGUCAAAAGGGAAACAGCCCAGACCAUCAGCUAAGGUCCCAAAGUGUAAGUU